ensembl:lncRNA
CCUCACCAGAAAGGAUCAUCAACUUUUUCCACUGUCUGAAUUAACUUGAUGCAAACUCUUCAGUUGAAGAAAUGCAGACCUGCCUGCAAUCAGAACACUUUCAGAAACAAAACUAGAACCUCACCAAUGUUCAGCCCUGGUCUACCUGUUAUUCAAGUCAGAGGUCAAGAAUUUGACUUGAAGACAUAUGACCUAUCAUGACAAGAUGAUCAGAGGUCAGAGGACUGGUUGGCUGUGACCUCCAAUAUAAAUCCUGUGAGAUUGUGGUCUCAGCUCUGCAGACACCAAACGGUGCCCUGACAGAACUGGAUCUCAGCAGCAAUGAACUGGAAAACAGAGGAGUAGAGCUGUUUUGUGUUGUAUUAUUCAGCCCAUUCUGCAACAUUAAGACACUUGUGUGAAUCAACUAUUUAGAGUAUGAGUUAUAAUGUGUGUUUUCAAUUUUGUCCAUCAAAUGUUCUUCUGAUCUGUAGUAAGGGUUACUGUUCAGGAGCUGAGAGACAAUGACCUGCAGGACUUAAGAGUUACACUUCUGACUGCUGGACUGCAGGAUCCAAACUAUAAACUUGGAUGUGUGUGUUUGUGUAUGACAUUGGUGACACACAAGUGUCUGUGUGACUGACAACAUGGCAACCAGCCCCAUUUGCACCAUUGCAUGAAAACUGACUUUGACUAUCCCGACCAAGCGAUUAUGACAUGCAGUCCAAAUAACAAAAGAUCAUAUCUGAAAAAACUAUACACAUUUUGUGGUAACAUGCAUUAAACAUUUACCUACAUUGAGAAAGAUUGCUGUGGCUAGCAAAUUCGACCUAGAGAUUGGGCUGUUUUGUUUUUUUGUCGGAAAUUAAUAGAUUUCUUCUUUUGUAUAGGAUGUUUGUAGAAUGCUGACUCAGAGUCAUACAAAUCAUAUUUCUAUACUCUGAGGAUUAAUCCAUAUAUUCAAGGACAACCAAUAUUUUUUUUUGGAAAGAUCUGUGACUAAUCCCACCCCUGAAUAACCUACAUAUCUGUUAUUAAUCCCCUUCUAAAUAAUUUAGAUAUCUGUGAUUAAUCUCUCCCCUGAAUAGCCUAACUAUCUAUGAAUAAUACCUCUCUGAAUAAUUUACAUAUCUGUGAAUUAUCCCUCCCCUGAAUAAUCUAUAUAUCUGUGAAUAAUCCUUCCUCUGAAUAACCUACAUAUCUGUGAAUAAUCAUUUUCUGAAAAAUGUACGUAUCUUUGAAUAAUCCUUCCUCUUAAAUUACC